rnacentral:misc_RNA from 1 species
AAGUCGUAACAAGGUUUCCGUAGGUGAACCUGCGGAAGGAUCAUUACCAUACCUUCACAACCACAAGCCCUGCGCUUUCGAGAGAUUCGCAGGCACAACCAUGAGCAAGCGCCGCGCGGUUCCGCGUGGCGUGAGGGAGCGUGGGCAUGCUGACAUGAGUGCCCCGCUCUAGCGCCGUUCCCCCAACGAUGCUCCGGCGUCGGCGGGGAGCUCUGAGAACGGACUCGGUGCUUUCACCGAACCCUGUGCUUGAAAAGGAACCAAAAUGCAGUACAACUGCAAACGGUGGAUCACUCGGCUC